rnacentral:lncRNA from 1 species
CUCCGUUCGACAAAAGCCUCAGAUAAGUUCACACUAUUGUUUGGCUCUUUCAUAUAAUUCAUGAGUCCAAACUCCUUCGGUUUUUGUUCCAUGGAAAUUAAAGAAACCUGUAGAACUUUGGGGUAUAAAAUUCUAUAAGUUCAAAACCGGGAAACUAGUAAGUUCAGACAAAAUUAAAACUGUCAAAGAACAUGAGAGUUUUUGUCAAAGAACCAAGGCUUCCCCACGCAUGUACAAACUUUUUAAAUGUGUGGAUUUUGUCAAAGAAAAAACUGAAUGGGUGGCAAGAUGAAUGUAGUUGUUAUUAAGAGUUUCUUUCUGAACUUCUCCUCUUAAUAUACAUGAACUUGAUUAUCUUUUUAACCGGUUAAAUAUACAGGGUUGGCAAGAUGACGAUAGUUGUUAUAGCAAAAAAGUACAUUUUUCUUUAAAACAUUUCUGUUUGAACUUCUCCAAUUAAUAUACAUGAACUCAAUUAUCUUUUUAACAUGUACUCACAUGAGCUCGUUUGGAUUUUUGUGUAUACUUGUAACACAAUCAGUUCAGAUCUCGAGAGACCGUAAGUUAUUCGGCCUUGGCAUCACGAACGGGUUUAGUUCGAUCUCGCACAAUGGGCUAGGUCCCCGAUGGUGUGUCCGUCAGUUCUACUCACACGAGUGGACGUCAGAUCACACAAGUGGGAAGGUCCCCGAUGGUAAGAACUUGUUCUAUUCCUGCUGCUAUCGACCUGUUUGUUGAUAUGCUUAUAAGAAAUGAAAUAUCCUUUUUGAUAUUUCUUUAUUGCCAAAUAAAAAGCUGAUAUUUAUGGACAUGUGCAGUAUAAACAUUUUUUAUGGGGUAGUACACAUUUUUAAACUUUUAUAUAAUUGCAAAAAAGGAAUUCUCAUUCCUAGAAACCUACAAAAAAACAUCUACUUAUAGUGAUAGUUUUGGUUCUAGUCCUUAUGGCCCGGUUCAAGUAACUAUGUCGCCCCCGCGUUUUGGUUUCUUGUUAUCUCUCCUGAAUGCUUUUGAAGAGCUUCAAUUGUUUUUAGUUCAUCUUUUGAAUGCUUUUCAGUACAUCUACUUACCAACCGUAAGUCCAGUUUCCUUUGUGUUUCCAUGUUAUUUCUAUAGCACAAUAGGUGUGUGUGGUUAUGUUGUAUGAGCGCAUGUAACAAAGUCUAUUUUGUAAGUUCAGAGAAGCAACGAGGUAAAAGCAAAACACUAAAACCAUGCAAUUCUUGUAAAGAUAUCUGAAAGUUCAACAAUAAAAUUUAUAUAAGUUUAGUCUCAAGUGGAGAGAAGUUGCUGCAUCUCUCUCUGCACGUGGAUGUCGUGUGCUAUAGUUGCUUUCUCCCCUUGAUGUACAUGCUGCUACUCACCUUUUUAUCUUUCUAAUGCGUUGUGUUGCACUACUGCAGCUCGAUCCAGGAGGUGCUAGCUCACGCUGGCUGGAACUAGGAUGCAAAAGGGUUGAUGGACCCAUGCUGCACAAGCACUGGUGCUCUGCUUUCUUCUUACUUUGUGUUGUAAUUUGCAUUCUUCUUAUUUUCAGUUUGUGAGAUAUGAAAAUAAGUUAAAAAAAUGUUGUGCCUGGAGUUCAUAUUAUUUGCUACCCCGUGAUGUACGCCUAUAGUUUCUCCCUCCAAAUGUGUUGGUCCAUGUGGUUAGAUUUUCUGUGUUUCUCCCUCCAAAUGUAUGCAAGUAC